rnacentral:lncRNA from 1 species
AACCGUUGAAGCUCUGAGGUUCCAUGUCCAGGGGAAGGCACUGACAGUUUGUGGUCCCAGAAUCCCCAGAAGCAUCUGAAUCAGAGAGGGUUGCACCAUCUGCACAAUGCAUUGGACAGGAGGGGCACAGACUAAGAAGGAGGGAUGAGAUCUUGCAGCCCUUUGGGUCUAGGGAGACCAAAAUCACAACAAAAGAAGACUAGUUGUUGUGAAAAAGCUUGAGUCCAUUAAUUGGCACACACCAUUUUCUGUGGGGGUGGUGUGAGAGGUGAAAUUCUAAGGGAGGCGGGUGGGAGCUUAACACUCAGCGUCCAGACAUGCAGAAGUAAAGUGUGCCCGGGAGUGCCCAUUGGAGAUACAGCGUGGAUGAUGAAAACCAGGAGCUGGGCUCGAAAGGCUGAAAAGUGGAGUGAUGACGACCCAGAAGGGAAGGAAGGAGAGCUGCCGACAAAGCAGGCAACCUUCGGGGAGAGACCGGGGCCCAUCUCAUGUGCGACAAAGGUAAGCGGUAAGAAAGCCAGAGCAGGGCUUUACACUGGCGGCCACCAGAAGAGCUGUCCUGGCCAUCAGAGAGAUUCAUCAGUCCUUUCCAGGGGUUGAGGGGGUUGAGGGGAGCUUGGUGGCAAAGUGGGGUGUAAGUACUUUCAGUUUCUUUACAAUAGAGACAACUACAGUCAUGUGCUGCAUGAUGAUGCUUCAGUCAACAACAGACCGUAGGUAUGAUGGUGGUCCCACAAGAUUAGUACCAUAUAGCCUAGGUGUGUAACAGGCUAUACCAUCCAGGUUUGUGUAAGGACACUCUACGAUGUUCGCACAAUGAUGAAAUCACCUAACGAUGCAUUUUUCAGAGUGUAUCCCCGGUGUUAAGUGCCACGUGACUGUAUAGCAAGACCGUGGGUAAGAGUGCUGGGGCUGGAGUCAUACCACCUGGGUUCAAAUGCUGGCCCUGCACUUGCUACCAUUUAUUAGUCUGGAAAACUUCACUGCCUGUGGAAGACAUGGAGAUACGCUGCUCGUCUUCCCCUUCGAGAAUGGACUUGCUGCUCAGGUAGAGGAGUGUGGAUAGCAGACAGCCUCCAGCUAUUAGCAGGGUCCACCCUGGCUUUCAAGCUGAGGUCAUGCCACUAUUGAGGCAGCCCCUGCCAGUGACUAAGCAUGAGAUGGUGCGAACACCUAGGCCUUUCAUUCAAAAGGAGGCCUCCUCGAAUGGGUGGUCUUUGCUCUGCUCCCCGUUGGACUUGGCAGAAUCUUUGUCAAGUCCAGAUGUUGGCUCCCCUUGACCAGUCCUGCUUCCUCCCCAGUUCUGUCACAGGUGUUACUCCACCGUAAACUUGUUCUACUCUUACUUCCAUCUCAGCAUCUGCUUCCCAGAGAACCGAACCAGUGCCACGGCCCUAUGCCUCAGUUUCCUCUUCUGUAAAUUGGGCAUAAUAAAUUUGAAAGCUAAUUUAUUGCUGUUAUGAGG